rnacentral:tRNA from 1 species
GGAGGUGCUGUCGCUCAGUGUCAGGGCAUCUGCUUGGCAUGCUAAAGGUCCCCGGUUCAAUCCCUGGCAUCUCUG